GGUAGCGAAAUUCCUUGUCGGUUAAAUACCGACCUGCAUGAAUGGCGUAACGAGAUGGGAGCUGUCUCAAAGAGGGAUCCAGUGAAAUUGUAGUGGAGGUGAAAAUUCCUCCUACCCGCGGCAAGACGGAGAGACCCCGUGGACCUUUACUAUAGCUUGACACUGCUAUUUGGAUAAGAAUGUGCAGGAUAGGUGGGAGGCUUUGAGUAUAUGACGCCAGUUGUAUAUGAGCCAUUGUUGAGAUACCACUCUUUCUUAUUUGGGUAGCUAACCAGCUUGAGUUAUCCUCAAGUGGGACAAUGUCUGGUGGGUAGUUUGACUGGGGCGGUCGCCUCCCAAAUAAUAACGGAGGCUUACAAAGGUUGGCUCAGAACGGUUGGAAAUCGUUCGUAGAGUAUAAAGGUAUAAGCCAGCUUAACUGCAAGACAUACAAGUCAAGCAGAGACGAAAGUCGGUCUUAGUGAUCCGGUGGUUCUGUGUGGAAGGGCCAUCGCUCAAAGGAUAAAAGGU
rnacentral:rRNA from 1 species